UACAGAGACCUCAAGCGUUAUCCGGAAUCAUUGGGCGUAAAGCGUACCGAUAGGUGGUUUUACAAGUCAGAGGUGAAAUCCCAAGGCUCAACUUUGGGAAUGUCCUUUGAAACUGUACAACUAGAGGGGCAAAGAGGAAGCUGGAACGAACGGUGUAGUAGUGAAAUGCGUUGAUAUCGUGCGGAACACCAAUAGCGUAGGCAGGCUUCUGGGUGCCACCUGACACUGCUAGGACGAAAGCGUGGGGAGCGAAUGGG
rnacentral:rRNA from 1 species